ACGUCUACAUCUUUAAGGUGUAGAUCAGUUGACUGUCAUACUUCCAAGAAAAGCUCGAACUACUGUAAAGCAUCAAGUACCUGUACCGUAAACCGACACAGGUGGGUUGGUAGAGUAUACCAAGGGGCGCGAGAUAACUCUCUCUAAGGAACUCGGCAAAAUGACCCCGUAACUUCGGGAGAAGGGGUGCCAAGUAACUUAAAUUGCUUGGUCGCAGUGACCAGGCCCUGGCGACUGUUUAUCAAAAACACAGGUCUCCGCAAAGUCGUAAGACAACAUAUGGGGGCUGACGCCUGCCCAGUGCCGGAAGGUUAAAGAAGUUGGUUAUUCAUUCGUGGAGAAGCUGACGACUGAAGCCCCGGUGAACGGCGGCCGUAACUAUAACGGUCCUAAGGUAGCGAAAUUCCUUGUCGGGUAAGUUCCGACCCGCACGAAAGGCGUAACGAUCAGGGCACUGUCUCGGAGAGAGACUCGGUGAAAUAGACAUGUCUGUGAAGAUGCGGACUACCUGCACCUGGACAGAAAGACCCUAUGAAGCUUGACUGUAGCUUGGAAUUGGGUUCGGGCUCUUCUUGCGCAGCCUAGGUGGGAGGCGUUGAAGGUUUUCUUUUGGGAAAGCUGGAGCCAUCAGUGAGAGACCACUCUGGAGGAGCUAGAAUUCUAAUGGCGUUCCUUGAAGCAGGACGCUUGACAGUUUCAGGUGGGCAGUUUGACUGGGGCGGUCACCUCCUAAAAGGUAACGGAGGUGUGCAAAGGUUCCCUCAGGCUGGACGGAAAUCAGCCGUAGAGUGUAAAGGCAGAAGGGAGCUUGACUGCAAGACCUACAAGUCGAGCAGGGGCGAAAGCCGGCCUUAGUGAUCCGACGGUUCCAUGUGGAAGGGCCGUCGCUCAACGGAUAAAAGUUACUCUAGGAUAACAGGCUGAUCUUCCCCAAGAGUUCACAUCGACGGGAAGGUUUGGCUCCUCGAUGUCGGCUCAUCGCAACCUGGGGCGGUAGUACGUCCCAAGGGUUGGGCUGUUCGCCCAUGAAAGCGGUACGUGAGCUGGGUUCAGAACGUCGUGAGACAGUUCGGUCCAUAUCCGGUGUAGGCGUUAGAGCAUUGAGAGGAGCCUUCCAUAGUACGAGAGGACCUGGAAGGACGCACCUCUGGUAUACCAGUUAUCAUGCCAAUGGUACACGCUGGGUAGCCAUGUGCGGAGUGGAUAACCGCUGAAAGCAUCUAAGUGUGAAGCCCACCUCAAGAUGAGUGCUCUCCAUUAGGUCACAGGAAGACAACCUGUUUGAUAGGCAGAAGGUGUAAGGCUAGUAAUAGUUUCAGCUGAUCUGUACUAAUAGACC
rnacentral:rRNA from 1 species